rnacentral:rRNA from 1 species
UACGUAGGGGGCAAGCGUUAAUCGGAAUUACUGGGCGUAAAGCGUGCGCAGGCGGCUUUGCAAGACAGAUGUGAAAUCCCCGGGCUUAACCUGGGAACUGCAUUUGUGACUGCACGGCUAGAGUGCGGCAGAGGGGGAUGGAAUUCCGCGUGUAGCAGUGAAAUGCGUAGAUAUGCGGAGGAACACCGAUGGCGAAGGCAAUCCCCUGGGCCUGCACUGACGCUCAUGCACGAAAGCGUGGGGAGCAAACAGG